rnacentral:rRNA from 1 species
GUGGAAGAACAAGAUUGUAUUGGAGCAAUAGAUGGAACACAUAUUUCAAUUAGCAUAUCUCCAAAAGAUCAAGAUCCAUAUCGUAAUAGAAAGGGAACAUUGUCACAAAAUGUUAUGGUUGCAUGUGAUUUUGAUAAUCGUUUCGUCCAUGUCAGCAGCGGAUGGGAAGGUUCCGCUUCUGACGCUCGUGUUCUACAAGAUGCUCUUGAAAAUAAUUUCUAUGUCCCCGAAGGAAAGUUUUAUUUGGUGGAUGCUGGUUAUGCGAAUACGCCUAAUUUCAUUGCACCUUAUCGCAAUGUAAGGUACCAUUUGAUGGAGCAGGCUAAAUGCAAUCAGCGGCCGCAAAAUCCUCGAGAGCUAUUCAACCUGAGGCAUGCACAACUUCGUAAUCAUGUUGAGCGUAUAAUUGGAGUUCUGAAGAAGCGUUUCCCUGUACUAAAGUGUGCAUCGCAAUACCCCAUCGACUCGCAAGCAGAAAUUGCAAUAGCAUGUUGUGCUCUUCAUAAUUUUAUUUGUAGUAAUGAGGGUGGCGAACAAUGGUUGGACCAAGUUGAAUCAGACAUUGAUCCAAUAAAAAUAAUUGAUUUUUCAAGUGGAGAUAUGAAGUAUACAAAUGAUAUACAUUCUCUCAAUGAGCGACGAGCACUAGGUAGUACAAAAAGGGAUGAAAUAGCCAAUGCCAUGUGGAAUGACUAUCAAGACUAU